rfam:Daucus carota subsp. sativus cultivar DH1 chromosome 8, whole genome shotgun sequence.
GUCCCCUUGGGGACAUCCAAUAAAAUUGGAACGAUGCAGAGAAGAUUAGCACGGCCCCAGCGCAAGGAUGACACGCACAAAUCGAGGAAUGGUCCAAAAAAAAAUUCUU